UAACCAUCCUAAGGUAGCGAAAUUCCUUGUCGGGUAAGUUCCGACCUGCACGAAUGGCGUAACGACUUCUCGACUGUCUCAACCAUAGGCCCGGUGAAAUUGCACUACGAGUAAAGAUGCUCGUUUCGCGCAGCAGGACGGAAAGACCCCGGGACCUUUACUACAGUUUGAUAUUGGUGUUCGGUUCGGCUUGUGUAGGAUAGCUGGGAGACUGUGAACUCUGGACGCCAGUUCAGGGGGAGUCGUCGUUGAAAUACCAGUCUGGUCGUGCUGGAUGUCUAACCUGGGUCCGUGAUCCGGAUCAGGGACAGUGUCUGAUGGGUAGUUUAACUG
rnacentral:rRNA from 1 species